CAUCUUGAGCGCCUUUAAUAAUGGCAGGAUAUACGGUAUAUAAUGAGAUGGCUAAUGGUUCAAAUUUUUAAAAAUCAUUUAUUAUUUUGUGUUUGAAAGGUAAGCUGCUCUGAACGUCCUUGCACUAAAGAAUUAUUUAAAAAGAAACAAAGAAAUAGUGAGAGGCUAGGUUUUCAAAAGGCAAUCACAAACUCUUAGACUUUCAUUUCUCAAUUUGCUCAAGCUGUUUAUUUUAUUAGACUGCCAGCAAUCAUAAAUUAGGCGGAGAUAAAAGGAACAAGCAAUUUCAUGUACAAUAGCUGUUUUUAUUCCAGAAUGCAUCCUUAUGGGUCCUUGUUCUGAAGAGUCAGGUAAAGCUGUAAUUUUAUUAAUCUCUGCAUAAGUGUGUGCACAUAGCACCAUGGCAUACAGCCAAGUGAUUGUUGACAGAUAUAAAGGAAAAGCCAUUAAAGUUUAUACUGAUGCACCUGUAAGGAAAGGUAAAACUGUUUCUCCAGGUACAUUAUGUAAAGAUUCAAUGCUAUUCCAAAAUUUGUACAGUUAAUGGUACUGUAGUGCCUGCAUGCUUCAAUACUUUUACUGUCAGACAAGAGCAUUAAGGAAGGUAUUGCUUUCACACGAAAUUCCACUUUUAGAGAUAUCCGAAUUUCUUUUAAAAUUUCUUUUAAAGCAAAGUGUUUUUGCUGAGAGCUUCUAAUGAACAGAGGUUUUGAUAAGACACUGAUGAAAACAUUUAAGACACUGUUAUUCUUUUGUGCUUUUCAUGUUACCUAAAACAAACUAAGGGCUCAUUCCCACUUAAAAAAAUAAUCCUCCUUACGCACACUGUGGAGGUACAAAUGCAUGUGUCCUCCCUGCUUGCCUCUCUCUUUCUGCCCAGGCCUCUGCCAGAGAACUCCCGGAGAAGUAGGCUGGGCAGCGGAGAAAGGUCUGGCCUGGAGGAGGAGGAGGACCGGAGGAGAUGCCUGCUACUGCUGCCGGACCACCAGCACCCAGCCAGGUUUUCAUGAAAACUUCCUAUCCUUCAUUGAAGUUGGUGAUCUAAAGCAGACCACAAAUUAUCUUCCAUUAGCACUUCUGCAAUGAGGAUGAGUGAUGCAAGAAUUUCCAAAGGAUCUUAUUUCAGAGGAAAAGAAGAUACAUUUGGAGUACAUAUGGCUCCAGAGAAGAAUCUCAGUCUCUGGGUGACGAGCUCCAUUUUCUGGAAGGAAGCUAUUUUUCUUAGACUUGUUAUAGGCACUGAGGACAGCAUUAGCAAGAACAGUAGCAAGAAAGGCUUUAAUAACAUUUUCUCUGAGCAGUUCUCUCGGGUGACCCAUCAAAGAGAUCAUUUAACAGCUUUGUACUGAAUUGUAUAAUGCACUGUAAAAUGUCUUGGGACUAAUUUAGAUUCAAAGGGGGGGGGUUAAUAAAUCUACUUACUGAUCACUGUAGAGUUCUUCUCCCUAUCAAGUUUGUUGAGCUGGAAGUGAAACCAAAUUUUUGAUGC